rnacentral:rRNA from 1 species
CUUGAACGCUGGCGGCAGGCUUAACACAUGCAAGUCGAGCGGAGAGAGGUAGAUUGCUACUGAUCUUAGCGGCGGACGGGUGAGUAAUGCUUAGGAAUCUGCCUAUUAGUGGGGGACAACAUUUCGAAAGGAAUGCUAAUACCGCAUACGUCCUACGGGAGAAAGCAGGGGAUCUUCGGACCUUGCGCUAAUAGAUGAGCCUAAGUCGGAUUAGCUAGUUGGUGGGGUAAAGGCCUACCAAGGCGACGAUCUGUAGCGGGUCGAAGAGGGUGAUUCGCAACACAGGGAUGGAGACACGGCCCAGACUCCUACGGAAGACAGCAGUGAGGAAUAUUGGACAAGGAGCGGAAGACUGAUCCAGCCAUGCUGCGUGUGUGAAAAAGGCCUUAUGGUUGUAAAGCACUUUAAGAGAUGAGGAGGCUACUUUAGUUAAUACCUAGAGAUAGUGGACUUUACUCGCAGAAUAAGCACCUGCUAACUCUGUGCCAGCCGCCGCAGUAAAAC